rnacentral:tRNA from 1 species
ACUUAAGUAAUUUAAUUAAAAUAUUGAUUUGUGAUGUCAAUUAUGCGUUUAUACGUCUUAGGUA